rnacentral:misc_RNA from 1 species
GUAAGCGGUAAUAGCAGACAGCAAUAUCGGGAACCCUGCGGUUCAUGAAAAAACUCAUUUCGAAUUCGCUAUUGUCGUACAAGCGAGAAGCUGUGGUGUAAGAUUCUGCAUUCGGCUCGAGAAUUGAUUUGUGAUUGAACAAUCGAAUUGUAAAUGAAUAUUUUUACAUAUGUUACAUAAAUAAUAUAUUACAUUGGUAAGAGAAAGAAACGCUGGGUAACAUAUGCCUCGCAGAUUCAAGAGAUUUCGUCGAGAGAACGAGCAAUAACGGAUUUAAAGAGACUAAUUUGAAGAGAGCUGGAUAUUGUUACUGAAACGCAAAAAUCACAGAACAUAAGAGGAAACAUGACAUCAUACAACACAGGGUGUUCAACCAAUGAAAUUCAUUCAAACGGCCAAACCUCAAAACGUAAAGGUGCACUUAGGAAUGACGACAACGAGACGACAACGAAAGGGGACAAUGGCGUCGCUUCAAUAGAACACGUUCCAUCAAUCAUAGAGUUGAAAAACGCGCUACCAGAGCACUGUUUUAAGUCAUCACUCCUACAGUCGUUAUUCUAUGUUGGAAAGGAUUGUGCCAUGAUCGCAGCUUUAGUCCUCGUGAUGUCAUAUAUAGAAAGAACUACUUUCAUAAUUUAUUUACUUUCUCUACCUUUCUAUUGGUUCUUAACCGGAACUUUAUUUUGGUCGCUGUUCGUUUUAGGCCACGAUUGUGGACAUUCGUCCUUCUCGAAAUACACACUUGUGAAUGACGUCCUUGGGAAUAUAUUACACACGUUCAUUCUUGUACCAUAUUAUCCAUGGAAGCUGUCCCAUCACCAUCACCAUAAGAAUACGUGUAACAUCGACAAGGAGGAAGUAUUUUAUCCGGUGAGGGACAAGGAUCGCAAGGACAAAAAGUUCAAAGUAAUGCCACUGUUCGGGUUUGGACUAAGCUGGAUUGUGUAUUUAUUUAAUGGAUUUUCUCCUAGAAAUCUUUCCCAUUUCAAUCCCUUUGAAGACAUGUUUAUCAAGCAUUUAUUCCAGUGUAUUAUUUCAUUGGCUUGUCUAUGCAUAUGGAUAGGAUGUCUUGCAGUAUACGGAUUUUAUUUCGGGUAUAUUUCUAUAUUGACGUAUUACGCUGUGCCAUGCUUCGUGUUCAUGUCCUGGCUGGUCAUUGUGACCUUCCUCCAUCACCAUGACGUGAAUGUACCAUGGUUCGCUGAUGCUAAAUGGUCGAAUGUGAUUGGUCAAUUAUCAACGGUGGACCGUCAUUAUGGCUGGGCGCAUGCGCUGACGCAUAAUAUCGGAACGCACCAGGUGCACCAUCUAUUCUCAAAAAUUCCGCAUUAUCGCCUCGAGGAGGCAACGAAAGUAUUUCGGGAAAAGUAUCCACAUUUAGUUCGUAAAUCAAACGAGCCUAUUAUGACGUCAUUCCAGAGAAUGUUCUACGUUUGGUACUCACAGAGAUUUAUAAAAGACGACGUAAAUGUCCACGUUUAUAAAUAAAAGAACGAUUAAAUUUCGUAAACGUACAUUUUAGGAAAUGGGGAGUUUAAGCAUGCAUAUAAAAUCGAAACGCCAACCUAU